GGAAGUACGUUCGCAAGAAUGAAACUCAAAGGAAUUGGCGGGGGUCCGCACAAGCGGUGGAGUAUGUGGUUUAAUUCGAUGAUACGCGAGGAACCUUACCUGGGCUAGAAUGCUGGGAGACCGCUAGUGAAAGCUAGUUUUGUAGCAAUACACUGCCAGUAAGGUGCUGCAUGGCCGUCGUCAGCUCGUGCCGUGAGGUGUUGGGUUAAGUCCCGCAACGAGCGCAACCCCUAUCUUUAGUUGCCAACAGGUAAUGCUGGGAACUCUAAAGAAACUGCCGCCGUAAGGUGUGAGGAAGGAGGGGAUGAUGUCAGGUCAUCAUGGCCUUUAUGCCCAGGGCUACACACGUACUACAAUGGGGGAGACAAAGGGCUGCAACAUAGCGAUAUGAAGCCAAUCCCAAAAACUCCCUCUCAGUUCAGAUUGCAGGCUGCAACUCGCCUGCAUGAAGCUGGAAUCGCUAGUAAUCGUAUAUCAGCAAUGAUACGGUGAAUACGUUCCCGGACCUCGCACACACCGCCCGUCAAGCCAUGGGAGUCGGGUGUACCUAAAGUCGGUAACCGAAAGGAGCUGCCUAGGGUAAAAUCGAUGACUGGGGCU
rnacentral:rRNA from 1 species